UCACUAAUCAAGCCCGGCUUGUUGUUGGACCUCUUGUCGUUAAAGACAGGUCCUAAAGAUAAUGACGGUGUCAGUUGGACGCUAGAUGCAACGAGCUUUGACUAGCACGCAUCUUAGUUGGCCCUUUUGACCCGGUCUUUUUUAACCAAUUUUUCA
rnacentral:misc_RNA from 1 species